GCUUCUGAGGUGUAGUGGUAGCACACACCCCCGGUAUUGGUGAGACGCGUGUUCAACUCCCGCCGGAGGUU